AGAGCGAACGCUGGCGGCAGGCUUAACACAUGCAAGUCGAGCGGGCGUAGCAAUACGUCAGCGGCAGACGGGUGAGUAACGCGUGGGAACAUACCUUUGGUUCGGAACAACCCAGGGAAACUUGGGCUAAUACCGGAUAAGCCCUUACGGGGAAAGAUUUAUCGCCGAAAGAUUGGCCCGCGUCUGAUUAGCUAGUUGGUGAGGUAACGGCUCACCAAGGCGACGAUCAGUAGCUGGUCUGAGAGGAUGAUCAGCCACAUUGGGACUGAGACACGGCCCAAACUCCUACGGGAGGCAGCAGUGGGGAAUAUUGGACAAUGGGCGCAAGCCUGAUCCAGCCAUGCCGCGUGAGUGAUGAAGGCCCUAGGGUUGUAAAGCUCUUUUGUGCGGGAAGAUAAUGACGGUACCGCAAGAAUAAGCCCCGGACUAACUUCGUGCCAGCAGGCCGC
rnacentral:rRNA from 1 species